CGGCUGACAGCGCCUCACGCCGCCGCGCUCAGCCCGCACCCGGGACCGCGCCACCGGGACGGGCGGCUCCGGGGGGGACCCGCAGGGGGAACCCGCCCUUCGCUUGUCCUCACGCACGCCCCUCCCGCCCUCAGCAGCGGCGAAACAAGGCAGUGAAGCCAUCACGAUCGUCUAUUUAUUCCCGGCUGCUCCCGGCUGGGGGUGACCGGAGGAUUGUCCCCUCGGUCCUUGCUCGGCUCCCCCCCGGCAGUGGGCUCUCCCGGCGAGGCGGCGGCCGGUGCCUCGGCCGCCCCGCCCGCCGUCGGGGCCGCCAUGGCGAGCGGCAGCCGCCGGGGGGCGCCGCGGGGCCGCCGUGCUCCAACGGCCCCUUCUUCUCCAACGGCCCCUUCUUCUCCAACGGCCCCUUCUGCAACGGCCCCUUCCUUCUCCAACGGCCCCUUCUGCAACGGCCCAAAAUUAAAACCCGUCAUGGCACUGAAUAAAAGUUGUUUUAUUGGAGAAAAGGGGUGUGGAGCUGUUGUUUCUGAAAUGAUUAAGCCCAGGUACUCACCUCCCAAACCCCUCCAAGAGAAUCCAUGGGCAGCCUGUGGAAGGCAAGAGGCAUAUGAUGCGAAAGCUGUAAGAAACAGAAGCGAACACAUGAACGUUGUCCCUUCACCACAUCGUAUAGGAACUGCUAGCUGUUUCUCAGUCACAGCAUUUGAGUGCUUGCGAGAGCAGCUGUACAUUCAUUUUCUGAAGUGGACAUUUGGGGAAGAUUUCUGUGAAGCCUGAGAGCUGGUCCCACAUACCUGUCCAGCCUUCACACGAAGGGACAGAUGGACUUGGAGCAGUGGGACGCUGGUGUUGGAGCCACAUGAGCAGGCAGUGGGCAGGAAAGAAAGAAACUGACAGUUUACAGGCAAAUUAAGAAGUCAUGUGAGAGAAGGCAUUUCUAGCUGCUGUACAGACAGGAGUACCAAGCUGACAGGAGGCCAAGAAAGGUAGGGACAUCACAGAACUGGAGGCCCAAGCACUGGAGAAACCCAGCUGUUAACAAACAGAUUUUCUCCCCUCUGCCUGAAGAGCUCUUUGAAAAACUUGGUGUAGUUCUUUAGUGAGUGUUGUUGUUAAUAACAACACCCCAUUCUGUAAAUAUUACAUUUGUGAAAUGGACUAAAUUUCAUAAAGUAGUUUUUACUUUACCCCCUGUUACUACUAAGCAGGAUUACUGUUAUUACUUGCCUGUGUUUGAAGAUUCUGCAUUGACCUGUAAAGAAUACCACAGCAUCUCUCUUUAACAAUCCGAUCUUCUUCUAGCUAAUGAGAUUUGCCUUUGUUUCCAUACAAAGUAUCUCCUCGUGUUAGGUUUUCAGUCCUUGGCUAGCUAAAGGAUGAGCCGCUACUGCCAGAUCACAAUCACAGCCCGCAUUGGACUUCCUCUGCCACAAAAACGUUCAAAGAGCAUACUUACAGGAGGCAGCAGUUUCUAGAGAUACACAAUUUAAUACUAGGGAUGGGCAGACUAACUAAAAUCAUUACAUACUGAAAUCAUUACACCAACCUGCCGUUCCAAAUUCAAAGAACUUUUUAAGAUAUGAUUGUGGAAGAUACUGAAUUAGGGGAGCUGUUGGCUCCUUCAGGGGUGGAGAGGCCUUAUAGAGAGAUCUUGACAAAUUAGAGGGCUGGGCAAUCCCCAGCAAUAUGAAGUUUAACUAGAGCAGUGUGCCCUGGCAGCCAAAAGGACCAACUACACCCUGGGGUGCAUCAAGCACAGCAUUGCUAGCUGGUUGAGGGAAGGGAUUGUCCUGCUCUGCUCUGUGCUGGUGCGGCCUCACUUUGAGUGCUGUGUGCAGGUUUGGGUGACACAGUAUAAGAAGCACAUCCAACUGUUGGAGAGUGUCCAAAGGAAGGCGCUGAAGAUGGUGCAGGGUCUAGAGGGCAAGAUGUGUGAGGAACAGCUCAGGUCCCUUGGUUUGUCCAGCCCAGAGCAGAGCAGGCUGAGGGGAGGCCUCAUGGUGGCCUGCAGCUCCCUCACGAGGGGAGCACAGGGGCAGGUGCUGAGCUCUGCUCUCUGGGGACAGCGACAGGACCCGAGGGAACGGCAUGGAGCUGGGACAGGGGAGGGUCAGGCUGGGGGCUAGGGAAAGGUUCUGCACCCAGAGGGUGGUCGGGCACUGGGACAGGCUCCCCAGGACAGCAGUCACAGCACCGAGCCUGCUGGAGUUCAAAAAGCAUUUGGACAGUACUCUCAGAUAUAGGGUCUGAUUUUUGGUGGUCCUGUGUGCAGCCAGGACCCAGCUGAUGGCCUUUGUGGGUUCCCUCUGAUCCAGUAUAUUCUAUGAUUCUAUCAAAAUAACUCCAAAACAACUCAAAAAUUCAGCAAAUGGUUCAGAAUUACUCUAUAAUUACCAAACCGCCAAAACAUUUAACUUCACAUCUAUCUCCACAUCUUGGAAGAUGAAUGAAAGGAAACAUAAUAAAUAUUAGUCAUAUUGCUAAAGGCACUAGUAAAAGACUUGAUGAAAUUGUAAUAUAAAAUAGCAUACAAAGUUCUGUAGAUAACAUACAAAAGUAUGCAGUAGUUACCCAAGUUAAGAACAAAAAGAUUGUUGAGUCAUGUCCCUCCUAUCACAGGCAGAUCUUACCUGUAUGUACAUUGCGACUGUUUUGACAGUCAUGAGGUCAUAAAAACACAUAUUACUCAAAAACAUUUGCACGUUUAAUUAGAUACUUUAAAAGGGAGAGGCCAAGUACCAUAAAUGUAGUAUAAAGUUCAUAAACACACAUACCAUGUUCCACAAGAAUUUCACUUUGCCUGAAAUGUAUUCCAAAUUCUUUAAUUGCAUUUUACAAAAAAAAAAAAAAAAAAAAAAAAAUCCAACAGAUAAUUUAAAACUAGCCAGCACUACUAUGUGACUGGCUGCAUUUCACUACUUGGUCACAGCCUUACUAUAGGUGUACUAAAUCUGUAGCAUUAGAAUGUAGAGGGAAGCCAGAAGUAAAACUGGUUGCUAGAAAAGUCUAAGAAUAUUUUUGUUGUUGUUUUUAAAACACGAGACUGGUAAAGGAUCAGUGUCAUGUCAGUGUUCCAGGAACACCUCAAACUCACUGCAUUCAGUAUGGAAACUUUAUUGCAGAGCAGUACCUAAAGGGGGCCUACAGGAAAGCUGGGGAGGGACUCUCUGGCAGGGGGUGUAGUGAUAGGGCAAAGGGGAAUGGCUUUAAACUAAAAGAGGGUAUGUUUAGAUUAGACAUUAGGAAUAAAUUCAUUAGUUUGAGGGCGGUGAGGCACUGCCACAGGCUGCCCAGAGGAGCUGGGGAUGCCCCAUCCCUGGAGGUGUUCAAGGCCAAGCCCCGCCCC
ensembl:lncRNA